GACGAACGCUGGCGGCGUGCUUAACACAUGCAAGUCGAACGGAAAGGCCCUGAUUUCGUGGGGUGCCGGAGUGGCGAACGGGUGAGUAACACGUGAGUAACCUGCUCUUGACUUUGGGAUAAGUUCAGGAAACUGGGGCUAAUAUCGGAUAGGAGCUCCUGCAGCAUGGUGGGGGUUGGAAAGUUUCGGCGGUUGGGGAUGGACUCGCGGCUUAUCAGCUUGUUGGUGGGGUAGUGGCUUACCAAGGCUUUGACGGGUAGCCGGCAUGGGAGGGUGGCCGGCCACAUGAGGACUGAGGUACGGCCCAGACGCGUACAGGAGGCAGCAGGGGGGAAUAUUGCACAGUGGGCGGGAGCCUGAUGCGACGGCGCCGCGGGCGGGAUGACGGCCUUCGGGUAGUGAACCGCUGUCGCCUGUGACGAAGCGUUAGUGACGGUAAUGGGUAAAGAAGCACCGGCUAACUACGUG
rnacentral:rRNA from 1 species